UGCACUCACUACUGUAAGUCGCUCUGAAUAAGAGUGUCUGCUGAAUGACUAAAA
rfam:Salmo salar isolate Sally breed double haploid chromosome ssa13, whole genome shotgun sequence.